rnacentral:rRNA from 1 species
CUGGUUCUCCUCGAAAUAGCUUUAGGGCUAGCCUCAUGAUAAUCUUGCGGAGGUAGAGCACUGAAUUCCUGCGGGGGCGUCAAAGCUUACCAAGGGAUAUCAAACUCCGAAUGCCGUGUAGAUGUUUCAUGGGAGUCAGACUGCACGAGAUAAGUUGGGUGGUCAAAAGGGAAAGAGCCCAGACCACCGGCUAAGGUCCCAAAGUGUGUGUUAAGUGGAAAAGGAUGUGGGGAUUCAAAGACAACUAGGAUGUUGGCUCAGAAGCAGCCAUACAUUCAAAGAGUGCGUAACAGCUCACUAGUCGAGAGUCCCUGCGCCGAAAAUGUCCGGGGCUGAAACACACCACCGAAGCCGUGGAAUUGCUCAGGCAAUUGGUAGAGGAGCAUUCUUAAGACCGACGAAGCUGUACCGGAAGGAGCAGUGGAGGGAUAAGAAGAGAGAAUGCCGGAAUGAGUAGCGAGAGAGAGGUGAGAAUCCUCUCGGCCGAAUAUCCAAGGUUUCCAGAGUAAAGCUGAUCUGCUCUGGGUAAGUCGGGACCUAAGGCGAGGGCGAAAGCCGUAGCCGAUGGACAACAGGCAGAGAUUCCUGUACCGCAUAUAAACAGAACUGUGGGGACGCAUGCAGAAAGCAUAAGCCGGGAAUGGAAAGACCGGUACAAGCGGAGGAGGAGACGGGAAGGCAAAUCCGUCCGUCAAUCCAGAGCCGUCAUGUGGAGCGAAAUAAAGUAGUGAAGUAUGCAGGCUGUGUGCCGAGAAAAGCCGCUAUUGUUUUAUAUGUGCCCGUACCGUAAACCGACACAGGUGGAUGAGGAGAGAAUCCUAAGGCCGACGGAAGAAGCAUUGUUAAGGAACUCGGCAAAAUGACCCCGUAACUUCGGGAGAAGGGGUGCCACAGAAAUGUGGCCGCAGAGAAUAGGCUCAAGCAACUGUUUAGCAAAAACACAGGUCUAUGCGAAACCGAAAGGUGAGGUAUAUGGGCUGACGCCUGCCCGGUGCUGGAAGGUUAAGAGGAGAGGUUAGCGAAAGCGAAGCUUUGAAUUGAAGCCCCAGUAAACGGCGGCCGUAACUAUAACGGUCCUAAGGUAGCGAAAUUCCUUGUCGGGUAAGUUCCGACCCGCACGAAAGGCGUAAUGAUUUGAGCACUGUCUCGACAAUGCAUCCGGUGAAAUUGAAGUACCAGUGAAGAUGCUGGUUACCCGCGCCAGGACGGAAAGACCCCAUGGAGCUUUACUCCAGUCUGGUACUGGGAUUCGGUACUGCAUGUACAGGAUAGGUGGGAGGCUAUGAAGAGAGGACGCCAGUCUUCUUGGAGCCGCUGUUGGGAUACCACCCCUGCAGUAUUGGGUUUCUAACCAGCCGCCGUAAGCCGGCGGUGGGACAAUGCCAGGCGGGGAGUUUGACUGGGGCGGUCGCCUCCGAAAGGGUAUCGGAGGCGCUCAAAGGUUCCCUCAGAAUGGUCGGAAACCAUUUAGAGAGUGCAAAGGCAGAAGGGAGCUUGACUGUGACACCGACGGGUGGAGCAGGUACGAAAGUAGGACUUAGUGAUCCGGUGGUAGAAAGUGGGAUUGCCAUCGCUCAACGGAUAAAAGCUACCCUGGGGAUAACAGGCUUAUCACUCCCAAGAGUUCACAUCGACGGAGUGGUUUGGCACCUCGAUGUCGGCUCAUCGCAUCCUGGGGCUGUAGCAGGUCCCAAGGGUUGGGCUGUUCGCCCAUUAAAGCGGUACGCGAGCUGGGUUCAGAACGUCGUGAGACAGUUCGGUCCCUAUCCGGCGCGGGCGUAGGAUAUCUGAGAGGAGCUGGCCUUAGUACGAGAGGACCGGGCUGGACGGACCACUGGUGUAUCUGUUGUCGACCAACGGCAUGGCAGAGUAGCCAAGUCCGGAAGGGAUAAACGCUGAAGGCAUCUAAGCGUGAAGCCCCCCCCAAGAUGAGAUAUCCCAUCCAUAAGGAAGUAAGACCCCUGAGAGACGAUCAGGUAGAUAGGGCAGAGGUGGAAGUGCAGCAAUGUAUGGAGCUGACUGUUACUAAUCGGUCGAGGGCUUGACCAA